rnacentral:rRNA from 1 species
GUUAAAUAAAGUCUAUUCUGCCCAUUGAAUAAAAUUUUAAAAGGCCGCAGUAUCCUAACUGUGCAAAGGUAGCAUAAUCAUUAGUUUUUUAAUUGGAGGCUUGUAUGAACGAUUGGACAAGAGCUAAACUGUCUCUUUUUUAAUAGGUUGAAUUUUAUUACUAAGUGAAAAAGCUUAGAUAAAUAAGAGGGACGAUAAGACCCUAUAAAUCUUUAUAAAAUUAAUUUUUAAAAGGAAAUAUAAAUUUAAAUGUUUUUAAAAAUAAAGUUUUAUUGUACUGGGGCGGUAUUAAUAUAAAAUAAACUGUUAAUAAAUAAAACAAAUAUAAUUGAUAUUUAAAGAUCCUGUGAUUAUGGAUUAAAAGUUUAAGUUACUUUAGGGAUAACAGCAUAAUUUUUUUUGAGAGUUCAAAUCGAAAAAAAAGUUUGUGACCUCGAUGUUGAAUUAAGAAGUCCUUAUGGUGCAGCAGUUAUAAAGGAAAGUCUGUUCGACUUUUAAAUUCUU